UUAGCUAUAGCUCAAUGGGUAGAGCAAUUGACUCAGAUUCAAUGGGUUACCGGUUCGACUCCGGUUAGCAAAUCUA
rnacentral:tRNA from 1 species